UACGGGAGGCAGCAGUGAGGAAUAUUGCGCAAUGGAGGCAACUCUGACGCAGCCAUGCCGCGUGCAGGAAGAAGGCGCUACGCGUUGUAAACUGCUUUUAAACGGGAAGAAACCCCGGGACGUGUCCCGGGUUGACGGUACCGUUGGAAUAAGCACCGGCUAACUUCGUGCCAGCAGCCGCGGUAAUA
rnacentral:rRNA from 1 species